UACAGAGGUGGCAAGCGUUGUUCGGAAUUACUGGGCGUAAAGGGCGCGUAGGCGGUCUUUUAAGUCUUGUGUGAAAUCCCUCGGCUCAACUAGGAACUGCCACGGGGAAUACUGGGAAGACUUUGGAGUUCGGGGAGAGGGGAAAGCGGAAUUCCGGGUGUAGCGGUGAAAUGCGUAGAUAUCCGGAGGAACACCGGUGGCGAAGGCGGCUCCUGGACCGAUUCCUGACGCUG
rnacentral:rRNA from 1 species